rnacentral:misc_RNA from 1 species
AUGAAGAACGCAGCGAAAUGCGAUAAGUAGUGUGAAUUGCAGAAUUCAGUGAAUCAUCGAAUCUUUGAACGCACAUUGCGCCCCUUGGUAUUCCAUGGGGCAUGCCUGUUCGAGCGUCAUUUGUACCUUCAAGCUUUGCUUGGUGUUGGGUGUUUGUCCCUCGGGACUCGCCUUAAAGUCAUUGGCAGCCAGUGUUUUGGUUUUGAAGCGCAGCACAAGUCGCGAUUCAAGGCUAUCCGCCCGCUUCCACAAGCCUUUUUCACUUUUGACCUCGGAUCAGGUAGGGAUACCCGCUGAACUUAAGCAUAUCAAUAAGCGGAGGA